GCCCUAGGCUAGCGGCGGCCAGGGAAAAGGCGGCGGCCAGGGCGUGGGUCUCUGCGGACCAGGUUGGCAGUCAGUAAAAGCGCAGACAUAUAGAAGUUAUGGAAACAAACUUGUCCUUACUAAGCUCUUCCAGAAUGGACGGAUUCCCCCUCACAUCAAUAUAGCUUCCCUCUCACAUGGUCGUGAGACAGAAGAGGGCAUCAGAUACUACAACCUGGCCAUCAGCCCCCCCCCCCAUGCCUGCUUUCUCUCCGUGGACCCCACUUUUCUGUCUCCUCCUCUGCACAGCAUCUCAAUGAAUUAGCCUGAGAGCUGUACCCAAUAAACCUGCCUUUAUAUACUU
ensembl:antisense Gm15564 predicted gene 15564